UAUCAUUCUUCUUUAGCUUUAUAAUUUGGCUUUUAGAGAAAAAAAACUAAUCAUUACACUUUUUUUCAUAAAUAACAAAUCACUCUUCUUAUCCUUUCACAAACUCAAUUAAUAAUAUUCAAGCAUGCCAUAUUUAUAUUUGUAUUUCUUCAUUCAUUCAACAAAGUCAAAUUAUAUCCUAAUAUCCAAAUUAAGAGCUCUUAUAUCACUUGAAUGAAAAAUUAACACAUAAACA
rnacentral:lncRNA from 1 species